CGUUCUUUAACUAUAGUUUCCUUCUAAAUCUAGCCUCUACUAGGCUUUGUCUGUGCAUUCGAAAGCCGAUCAGACAUAGCCUAUAAGAGGUUAGGUGUACCAAGGCGAACAAUCAGCGAAAACGG
rnacentral:precursor_RNA from 15 species